AAUAUAAUUUUUUUUAAGUUUGUAAUUUUAUUUUUUUUAAGAUUUUAAGGAAAUUUUAACUGACGUAAACUAUUAUUGGGGGUAAACUAUUAUUGGGGGUAAUAUUGUCUUUUUAAAGUCAACAGUUAGUCAAUGAAAAUUUUAACUAACGGUAGGGGGUCUUUUACAAAUAAAAUGAUUUUCACCAUCUAUUUGCAACAGCCUCAAACCUCAGGGGAGGUUUUUAAAAAUUACCCUGAUAAAUAACCAUUCCCAAAAAUUUUCGUGUCGCCCACCUGCACCCGACGCGAAGCUCUUCCCCUUUUUCCUUGUUUGGUUUGGAAGUCUGGGCCUAGUUCUUUGUUGAGAAUAUAUAACAAGGAUUAAUUAUUUACAUUGUGACGAGCCUUGCUCUGAUUCGUCCAAAAAAAGCCUGGGACGGCCCAGCUCGCAUAUUUUAAGUAUAGGGGCUCAAAAGUUUAGGGCCCGUACGUUGUGGGCCUCGAGCAAAAAGCCCGGGCUUUAUUAUAUAUAAAAUAAAAAGAGUGGGGCUAUUGGCACCCCUCUAAGUUCCUGAAAAAAUCCCUUUUCUGAGUGCACCGCUUAAAUAUUUUUAUAUGGCAAAUGCUAUGUUACAAUUAAUGUAACAUACACACUCAACAACAACCACACAAAUUGUGUGGGCCCAUUAUUUGUGUGGUUGUUGUUGAGUGUUUAUGUUACAUUAAUUGUAACAUAAGGGCUCCCUUUUUAUAUAUAUAUCACUUCUCAAAAAUCACAUUUUAAUUUCAAAAUUACCCUCAUCACUUUACCCUU
rnacentral:lncRNA from 1 species